GGGAUGCUUGGGACAAAAUGUUCUAAUCCCAAACCAACAUCACAGAGAAUUACUCAGGGAUUUCACAUUGUUUCCAUUUUGGAACGAGGACUAUUCUCCCAGUGUGACCCAGGAGAACGUCAGCAGGGAUCAGUUGCUCUCAGGAGUGGAACAAGAAAUAUCAGUCGUAGGUGUAGGUCUGACUGUUCUGAAGCGCCUGUAAAAAGAUAUGAAACAGACAAAAGAGAAUCCUCCACAGAUGAAGGCAUCAUGUGAGCUGCACUUCUGACUGUGACCACUGUGACACAAUGGCAGCACAGGCGAGCACUGUUCCCGAGGACUUGGCAAAAACGUGUGCACACAUAGGAAUGCAUGCUGUAGUCUGCCAUGUUUCUACAGUAGCCCAGAAGCAAGGGGAUUAGCACUACAGUAAAUCCUUCACACUGGUCCUAUUAAUUAAAGUCGAUAUAAGGAAAUAAAUGAGCAAAUAAGUACAUUCAAUAAUUAAUAUGUGCAGAAUUCCAAUAAAAUACACACAUACAAAUACGACUGAGGAAAAAUGCAUGCUAAGUUUUCAAACUGAACUCUUGUUUUUGUUUUUCUGUUUAUUAUUACUGCACCUUUCCCCUGUUUAUUACCCUCUUAGCAUUUGUAGCAUCUGAGUAAUGCUGGCGCUUACAUAAUAAGUCACUCACUAAGACCCUAAUUUAGCACAGUGGUGCCACGGGGUAGUUGAGAAAUGUGCAUGUCAGAUAGUUUCCUUGGAAAGUCAUCGUCUCCUAAAGACUAUUCCAUGAAUAGAUACAAUCUAUUGCAUUGUGUACAACUUAUAAUGCCUUUAUAAUCAGUUGAUGGUUUUCAACAAUUAUCUUUCCACUGUGACUCAAGUAUUGUUAAUCAUGGCAAUAUAUUUGGUUCUUCAGUGUUUCUGCAUUACUACAUUGAGCUACAGUUUACAGAUGUGCAUGAAAAACAGGUUGCUCUAUUUUUAGCACACACUUUCAGACACAUUAAUGCAAAUUAUAAGGCUUAGGUGUCUGACCUUAUUUUAAGAGAAGCAUUACAUAAGUGUUCACUACUUGAAAUGGAAGGAAAUGCCUGGGCCUGUCAGAGAACGAGAGAGAAGUUGCAGUCUGACUAUUCUGGGAUUGCAGUCAGGUUCUUUUCUCCACAUUUUUUCCCCCUCUUCCGCCCUGAGAGAGAGUAUGAAUAUUAAUCAAUGCUUUUAUCAUUUGUUAUGGAACGGCUGCCUCUGUGUUUGAAUGGCAGGGAAGCCAUAAACCUGUUUUUCCCCCUCCAUGGUAUUACCAUAUGAGUCGAAAACAUUUCUCACAGAAAGAGAGCACAGGACUUGUUUGAACAUAAAAGCCGCUGUGUGGAAGGGAAGCUGUGCCGCAUGGAUGAAUCAUUUGUCCUUUCAGAUUUGUUUAGAGAGGUGAUGAUUAAUCAACAGGUAAAAUGUGAGAUAAAUGACACGCUCCACAGACGGGCCUAUGUGAGGCAGGAGGGCCCGUGCCUGUGUCCAUAUGUGUGUGUUUACUUAACAUAUAAUGUGGCAAGGCAAAUGCCUCUAAGCUGGCUACAGCCAAAAUCCUCACGUGCAGCUCACGUCUAAUCAAAGUUUCUGUGUGUGUGUGUGUGUGUGUGUGUGUGUGUGUGUGUGUGCAUAUUUAUGUGUGGCAGAUCCCAUGACGUCAUGCUGUCAUCCUUGAGCAGCUUAGGCAGCAUGUCAGGGCGUAUUAAACGUCCAAACCACGUGACGCUUGACCUCUGACCUCGUUGCUUCCUUGCAGACACAAGCUCAGAGUGAAACAGAGUAAAAAAGUGAGACACUGAACAAAUCUGACAAACACAAUACAAAGAGGCUGCAUAUAAAACGCACUGAGGUAAAGACAGAUUUGAAUAACAUAAGGUGAGACAAUUAUAAAGCGUAGUUCUGUACCACUGAGGGAUAGAGAGAGGUUGACAGUUCUUAAUGACUUCCCAAAGUGGACAGCACCUGUCAAUUGACCAUUAAUAGGCUGCUUGAAUAGACCGUAGCUGACCAGAGGGAGAUUACAUUGAAGAAUGCCUGAGGACGUCAGUAUACGCCUGACCUGUUGCCAUGAUAACUGGAGCUCCGGUUAUA